rnacentral:lncRNA from 1 species
CCCCGGGUAGAGUUGUACAGCGAGCGUCACACGGUUGGGUAUCCCACGCAUCCUGGUCAAGCGCGGCCUAAAACGAACAUCUUGCUGGUUCACCACCUGCGGUGCGACGUGUGGGGGUCGGGUGCAAUGCCAAUUAAGCGGCAGCUGCGAGAUGCAUGGAGACAGACGGACCGAUGUCAGAAGAGAAUGUGGUUUGUGGUUAACAACCUUAAAAAAAGAUGUUUGUUUCCUCGAACUACAGAAUUACUACAGAGAAAAAAAAAAGCUGCAGCAUAUGAUGCCUACGGUGGACCUGGGGAAUGCGACAGCGUCCGACAGCGUCAAAUGCUGGAAGAAGAGGUUGAUGAUUGUGAACCACUGCAGCACCUCUGGAACAGAUGACAUCCAGGCUGUCAGCGAUGUUUCAAAUACAGUACUGCCUUUAGCCAAACAAGGCCAGGAAGCGGAGCAGGUCACACAUGCGACUGCAAACUGAAAAACUGACUUCAACCUGCACGACUCAUUACCUUCUCUCUUCUCCGAGGGGCUCUACCCAGAAGGGCAGUUUGCAGCGAGAGCUGUUGUAACUUAGUCUACUCUGAACUUCCAACUCAAAGUUUGAUGAGAUGCACAUGAGCGAUGAUGAGUGACACAAACAUUUACUGUGGAUACUGUCCUUGAUGUGUCUUGCAGGUCAUUUAGGAGAAUUUUGCUCCAACUUUUGCUCAGCUAUUUAAAUGAAUUGAUUUGUAAUUGUUUUAGGGGUGUCUUGCACAAACCCACCAGCGUUUUGCCUGGUUCCUCAGGGCUCUUUCAGAAAAGCCUUUUUUUCCUGUAUAAGUCAUUUUGCAGUAGAUACUUCUGUGUUUGGGAUCAUUGCUGAAACUUGGCUUCUACUGAGCAUCACAUCAGAGACACCCUGAUGUUGUCCUGUAGAUAUGCUGACGCAAUUUGAAAUUCAUUGUUCUGUCAAUGAUGGGCGUGUGUGUGGCUGCCCUGCAAUGGACUGGUGUCCCUCUCACGGUGUACCCCACAUAGCCUAGCAUCCAGUGAUUCCAGGAUAGGCUCCAGACCACUGCAACCUGACAAUGUCAAGCAGAUAAUCAAAGUGAGAGCAUGAGAGAGUGUUCUGUACGCGAGACCCGUUGCAGCAAAGCAGCCCCAGACCACGAAUCUUCCUCCGCAAAACUCACGGUUAGGAUGAGGUUUGUGUGCAUUGUUUUUAUUACUGAACACAACCUUCUCUCUUUACUCACGUGUUAUCUGUCUAAGGGCUCAGGGAC